UCAUAGCCUUUCACAUUCUUAG
rnacentral:miRNA from 1 species